rnacentral:rRNA from 1 species
UGGGGAAUCUUGCACAAUGGGGGAAACCCUGAUGCAGCGACGCCGCGUGAACGAUGAAGCCCUUCGGGGUGUAAAGUUCUUUCGACAGGAACGAUAAUGACGGUACCUGGAGAAGAAGCUGCGGCUAACUACGUGCCAGCAGCCGCGGUAAUACGUAGGCAGCGAGCGUUGUUCGGAGUUACUGGGCGUAAAGAGUGCGUAGGCGGCGAGCCAAGUUUGGUGUGAAAUCUCCCGGCUUAACCGGGAGGGUGCGCCGAAAACUGGUUGUCUGGAGUAUGGGAGAGGAAAGCGGAAUUCCUGUUGUAGCGGUGAAAUGCGUAGAUAUCAGGAGGAACACCUGCGGUGUAGACAGCUUUCUGGACCAAAACUGACGCUGAGGCACGAAAGCGUGGGUAGCAAACA